CUACUAUUUCAGCUUUUUAUAAUUAUAAGGUUUUAUUGUAUUUUCAAAAUAUUUUUUUAUUUUAUCUUUUUCUUGACAUGUGUUGUCAUCCUUCUCCAACACCACCGACUGUAAAUCGACCGACCCACUAAGUUUGAUGUUAUAAUUAGGAUAGGGAAAGAGUUUUACAGACGAUCCAUUUAUUCUUCUCUCUCUGUAGAACUGGUCAGUUGGGGUUUUUCUUCCAAUAAUUUGGUACACAGAUGGCUUUCUAUGAGGAAAAUGAGUAUGGUUGGUGGAAUGAUUCAUGGCAGCUUGACUUGUGUGUUGAGGAUGAAUGAAUUGAAUGAACUGCGUGACGAUCAAGGAUGAUGUUUCUUUUAGUCUUUUAAAUUAUGUUUUGAUGUAUUUCCGCAAUCAGUAUUUAAACAAUUAAAGUUUAUGUUUUAUGUUUUAUAAACAAUGGGAUCUCAUAUCAUAUCACAUUUUAUUUUAUAUUUUUACCUUAUUUUUUAUUGGUACAA